ACAGAGACCUCAUGUAUUAUGAUUUUACAUAUCUAUGACAUCUACAAUUUGAAUAUCAAAUUCAUGAUGAAGGAAUGAGAUCUACAUAAAGGAGUAAAGAAAUAUCGAGGCAGCGAAAGGAAUACCAGACAGACGGAGACCUCAUGUAUAAUGAUUUUACAUAUCUAUGACAUCUACAAUUUGAAUAUCAAAUUCAUGAUGAAGGAAUGAGAUCUACAGAAAGGAGUAAAGAAAUAUCGAGGCAGCGAAAGGAAUAUCAGGAAAGUUAGUCUCUAAUGAGUACGCGGAUGGUUUGAAAGUAUUGGAUUCAGCGUCGGUCAGCCAGAUGAUGCUCUAGUCUCCUCCUCAGCACAUGCACAUAUAGUCAGCUGCGCUAAACUGUAUUCAUAAAGACUCAGAAAUUGAUGAUGUAAUAUAUUUGGGAUUCUAAAUUAUCCUUGAAAUUCAUGUAAUAUUUUCUAGAGUAUGUCAUGUUUCUUAGUAAAUAAGAUAAUAGAUCAUAAGGUAAGGGUGUUACAAUGUUUUUCUG